rnacentral:rRNA from 1 species
AUGGUGGAAUCUCUCUGUUUGUCAGAUUCGAUUGCAUGGGAUGGAAGUAGUCGACCCAAGGGAGACGGCGCCGUGCGGUACGACCGCUGCUACGAGUGGUUGUGCUCGUACCACACAUCAUCCUCUCUUCUGGAGAGCCGAAUGCAGUUUCCUGACACAUCUUCUCAUCGUAUGGAAGGUUUUAUGGCAUCCAAUCACAUAUUUUCUACCACAAAUGAGCGUUCUCUAAUGAAUGUUCCCAAUCUCGUGAUUCCGGGGAUCUUGGUGAAAUCAAAGAAAAACGGGCAAACGAUCGCAGUAAACUGCUACAUCUACAAUGCAAAAAAAAAACCCUAA